ACAUAUAUGCAAAGUUGCAUAACAAAUUUCAUGAUCCAUAUAUCAAAACUCCGUAGCAUCCAUACAUCCAAAAUUCCAUAGCAUCCAUAUAUACAUAUAGUUCCAUAGCAUCCAUACAUACAUAGCUCCAUAGCAACAACGAUACUUUGCGGGCAUUAGUAAGUAAUAAUUGGCACUAAAACAAUUGCCUUCAUGUCCAUAUCGUAGUCCAAAGAGCAUCCGCGUGGCAAUGGGUGGGUUCAUCCUCCUGGUUGUAAUCACCGUCGAUGUCCUCGUCC
rnacentral:lncRNA from 1 species